AUGAACGAAAGGCUUACUGCUGUAUACACGAAGGAAGAAGUUAAAGAGGCCUUGUUCAAUAUUGGAGAUAUUAAGGCACCCGGGCCUGAUGGCAUGUCUGCUGUUUUCUACAAAAUAUUCUGGCACCUAGUCGGCGAUAAAGUUACUGAAGAGGUUCUAAAUGUCCUUGAAGGAGGCCAAAUGCCUGAAGGAUGGAAUGACACCAUGGUCGUGUUAAUUCCGAAAAAUGCAAAUCCAGAAAGCCUAAAGGAUUUAAGACCCAUCAGCCUCUGCAACGUCAUCUACAAGGUGAUCUCCAAAGUAAUUGCUAAUAGACUGAAAUGUAUUUUGCCUCAUAUCAUUUCACCCAAUCAAAGUGCAUUUGUACCAGGUCGUAUUAUUUUAGAUAAUAUUCUCCUGGCCUAUGAACUAACACAUUUUUUACAGAGGAACAGAAGCGGUAGGAAGGGGUAUGCAGCAAUAAAACUUGACAUGAGUAAAGCAUACGACCGGGUUGAAUGGAAUUUUCUAAAGGAAAUGAUGCUAAAGUUGGGAUUUAAAGGAGAAUGGGUCAACUUGGUGAUGAAGUGCGUGACGACAGUUAAAUAUCAAGUGAAGGUAAACAGAGAUGCAACUAAGGUAAUCAUUCCCCAACGAGGCCUACGCCAAGGUGACCCACUUUCACCGUAUUUAUUUCUACUAUGUGCGGAGGGUUUCUCCGCCCUGUUAUAUGAUGCUGAAAGAAAAUGGAAUUUGAAAGGGAUCAAACUAUGCAAAGAAGCACCAAGUGUAAGUCACUUACUCUUUGCAGAUGACUCACUGUUGCUCCUAGAGGCAAAUGAAGAAAAUGCCCGGUCUAUUAAUGAUAUUCUAGAGAAGUAUGAGGUUUGCUCCGGACAAGUAAUAAACAAGGACAAGUCAGCCAUCCUCUUCAGCAAGAACACUAAGCAAAUGCACAAAAGAGAGAUGAUGGGGGCAUUGGGCAUUACAACAGAAGGCUUGAAAGGGAGAUACCUUGGACUACCAGCUUAUAUUGGGAAGGCGAAAUCUAAAGCUUUCCAGUAUAUAAAGGAAAAAGUGUGGAAUAAGAUACAAGGUUGGAAGGAGAGGUUACUAUCCAAAGCAGGAAAGGAAAUUCUAAUCAAGGCAGCAGCUCAAGCGAUCCCAAUAUACACUAUGGCCUGCUUUGACCUAACAAAAAGUUUGUGUGAUGAACUUAGUUCCAUGAUAAGUAAGUUCUGGUGGAGCUAGGUGGACAAAGUAAACAAAAUCCAC
rnacentral:rRNA from 1 species